GAUGAACGCUGGCGGCGUGCCUAAUACAUGCAAGUCGAGCGAACAGACGAGGAGCUUACUCCUCUGACGUUAGCGGCGGACGGGUGAGUAACACGUGGAUAACCUACCUAUAAGACUGGGAUAACUUCGGGAAACCGGAGCUAAUACCGGAUAACAUGUUGAACCGCAUGGUUCAACAGUGAAAGACGGUCUUGCUGUCACUUAUAGAUGGAUCCGCGUCGCAUUAGCUAGUUGGUAAGGUAACGGCUUACCAAGGCAACGAUGCGUAGCCGACCUGAGAGGAUGAUACGUCAAAGUGGAAAUGAGACAGGGUGAAGACGACGACGGGAGGGAGCAGUGGGGAAUAUUGGACAAUGGGCGAAAACAUGAUCAAGCAAUGAAGCGUGUGUGAAAAAGGUCUUCGGAUUUUAAAGCACUUUAAGUUGGGAGGAAGGGAAGUAAACUAAUACUUUGCUGUUUUGAGGUGACCGAAAGAAUAAGCACCGGCUAACUCUGUG
rnacentral:rRNA from 1 species